rnacentral:rRNA from 1 species
GAUGAACGCUAGCGAUAGGCUUAACACAUGCAAGUCGAGGGGCAGCAUGGUCUUAGCUUGCUAAGACUGAUGGCGACCGGCGCACGGGUGCGUAACGCGUAUGCAACUUGCCUCACAGAGGGGGAUAACCCGUCGAAAGACGGACUAAUACCGCGUACACUCCAUCUUGGGCAUCCAAGGUAGAGGAAAUGAAAUUCGCUGUGAGAUAGGCAUGCGUCCCAUUAGCUAGUUGGUGAGGUAACGGCUCACCAAGGCGACGAUGGGUAGGGGAACUGAGAGGUUGAACCCCCACACUGGUACUGAGACACGGACCAGACUACGACGGGAGGCAGCAGUGAGGAAUAUUGGUCAAUGGGCGAGAGCCUGAACCAGCCAAGUCGCGUGAGGGAUGACUGUCUUAUGGAUUGUAAACUUCUUUUAUACGGGAAUAACAAGAGUCACGUGUGACUCCCUGCAUGUACCGUAUGAAUAAGCAUCGGCUAACUCCGUG